GUCGACCUACGGGAGGCAGCAGUGGGGAAUAUUGGACAAUGGGGGGAACCCUGAUCCAGCGACGCCGCGUGAGUGAAGAAGUAUUUCGGUAUGUAAAGCUCUAUCAGCAGGGAAGAAAGAAAUGACGGUACCUGACUAAGAAGCCCCGGCUAACUACGUGCCAGCAGCCGCGGUAAUACGUAGGGGGCAAGCGUUAUCCGGAUUUACUGGGUGUAAAGGGAGCGUAGACGGCAGUGCAAGUCUGAAGUGAAAGGCGGGGGCCCAACCCCCGGGACUGCAUUUGGAACUGUGCUGCUAGAGGGUCG
rnacentral:rRNA from 1 species